rnacentral:rRNA from 1 species
GAUGAACGCUGGCGGCGUGCCUAAUACAUGCAAGUCGAGCGAACAGACGAGGAGCUUUCUCCUCUUACGUUAGCGGCGGACGGGUGAGUAACACGUGGAUAACCUACCUAUAAGACUGGGAUAACUUCGGGAAACCGGAGCUAAUACCGGAUAAUAUAUUGAACCGCAUGGUUCAAUAGUGAAAGACGGUUUUGCUGUCACUUAUAGAUGGAUCCGCGCCGCAUUAGCUAGUUGGUAAGGUAACGGCUUACCAAGGCAACGAUGCGUAGCCGACCUGAGAGGGUGAUCGGCCACACUGGAACUGAGACACGGUCCAGACUCCUACGGGAGGCAGCAGUAGGGAAUCUUCCGCAAUGGGCGAAAGCCUGACGGAGCAACGCCGCGUGAGUGAUGAAGGUCUUCGGAUCGUAAAACUCUGUUAUUAGGGAAGAACAAAUGUGUAAGUAACUAUGCACGUCUUGACGGUACCUAAUCAGAAAGCCACGGCUAACUACGUG